rnacentral:rRNA from 1 species
UACGUAGGGGGCUAGCGUUGUCCGGAAUCAUUGGGCGUAAAGAGCGUGUAGGCGGCCCGGUAAGUCCGCUGUGAAAGUCGGGGGGCUCAACCCUCGAAUGCCGGUGGAUACUGUCGGGCUAGAGUCCGGAAGAGGAGAGUGGAAUUCCCGGUGUAGCGGUGAAAUGCGCAGAUAUCGGGAAGAACACCCGUGGCGAAGGCGGCUCUCUGGGACGGUACUGACGCUGAGACGCGAAAGCGUGGGGAGCGAACAGG